rnacentral:rRNA from 1 species
GGGUUGUGAGGUUAAGCGACUAAGCGUACACGGUGGAUGCCCUGGCAGUCAGAGGCGAUGAAGGACGUGCUAAUCUGCGAAAAGCGUCGGUAAGGUGAUAUGAACCGUUAUAGCCGGCGAUGUCCGAAUGGGGAAACCCAGUGCAAUUCGUUGCACUAUCGUUUGAUGAAUACAUAGUCAAACGAGGCGAACCGGGGGAACUGAAACAUCUAAGUACCCCGAGGAAAAGAAAUCAACCGAGAUUCCCCCAGUAGCGGCGAGCGAACGGGGAGCAGCCCGGAGUCUGAAUCAGCUUGUGUGUUAGUGGAAGCGUCUGGAAAGUCGCAGGGUACAGGGUGAUACUCCCGUACACUAAAACGCACAGGCUGUGAACUCGAAGAGUAGGGCGGGACACGUGGUAUCCUGUCUGAAUAUGGGGGGACCAUCCUCCAAGGCUAAAUACUCCUGACUGACCGAUAGUGAACCAGUACCGUGAGGGAAAGGCGAAAAGAACCCCGGCGAGGGGAGUGAAAAAGAACCUGAAACCGUGUACGUACAAGCAGUAGGAGCCUCUUUAUGGGGUGACUGCGUACCUUUUGUAUAAUGGGUCAGCGACUUAUAUUCUGUAGCAAGGUUAACCGUAUAGGGGAGCCGCAGGGAAACCGAGUCUUAACUGGGCGUUAAGUUGCAGGGUAUAGACCCGAAACCCGGUGAUCUAGCCAUGGGCAGGUUGAAGGUUGGGUAACACUAACUGGAGGACCGAACCGACUAAUGUUGAAAAAUUAGCGGAUGACUUGUGGCUGGGGGUGAAAGGCCAAUCAAACCGGGAGAUAGCUGGUUCUCCCCGAAAGCUAUUUAGGUAGCGCCUCGUGAAUUCAUCUUCGGGGGUAGAGCACUGUUUCGGCUAGGGGGUCAUCCCGACUUACCAACCCGAUGCAAACUACGAAUACCGAAGAAUGUUAUCACGGGAGACACACGGCGGGUGCUAACGUCCGUCGUGAAGAGGGAAACAACCCAGACCGCCAGCUAAGGUCCCAAAGUCAUGGUUAAGUGGGAAACGAUGUGGGAAGGCCCAGACAGCCAGGAUGUUGGCUUAGAAGCAGCCAUCAUUUAAAGAAAGCGUAAUAGCUCACUGGUCGAGUCGGCCUGCGCGGAAGAUGUAACGGGGCUAAACCAUGCACCGAAGCUGCGGCAGCGACACUAUGUGUUGUUGGGUAGGGGAGCGUUCUGUAAGCCGUUGAAGGUGGCCUGUGAGGGUUGCUGGAGGUAUCAGAAGUGCGAAUGCUGACAUAAGUAACGAUAAUGCGGGUGAAAAACCCGCACGCCGGAAGACCAAGGGUUCCUGUCCAACGUUAAUCGGGGCAGGGUGAGUCGACCCCUAAGGCGAGGCCGAAAGGCGUAGUCGAUGGGAAACAGGUUAAUAUUCCUGUACUCGGUGUUACUGCGAAGGGGGGACGGAGAAGGCUAUGUUGGCCGGGCGACGGUUGUCCCGGUUUAAGCAUGUAGGCGGAUGUUCCAGGUAAAUCCGGAACGUUAUCAACGCUGAGGUGUGAUGACGAGGCACUACGGUGCUGAAGUGACAAAUGCCCUGCUUCCAGGAAAAGCCUCUAAGCAUCAGGUAACAUCAAAUCGUACCCCAAACCGACACAGGUGGUCAGGUAGAGAAUACCAAGGCGCUUGAGAGAACUCGGGUGAAGGAACUAGGCAAAAUGGUGCCGUAACUUCGGGAGAAGGCACGCUGAUAGGUAGGUGAAGUGGUUUACCCAUGGAGCUGAAAUCAGUCGAAGAUACCAGCUGGCUGCAACUGUUUAUUAAAAACACAGCACUGUGCAAACACGAAAGUGGACGUAUACGGUGUGACGCCUGCCCGGUGCCGGAAGGUUAAUUGAUGGGGUUAUCCGUAAGGAGAAGCUCUUGAUCGAAGCCCCGGUAAACGGCGGCCGUAACUAUAACGGUCCUAAGGUAGCGAAAUUCCUUGUCGGGUAAGUUCCGACCUGCACGAAUGGCGUAAUGAUGGCCAGGCUGUCUCCACCCGAGACUCAGUGAAAUUGAACUCGCUGUGAAGAUGCAGUGUACCCGCGGCAAGACGGAAAGACCCCGUGAACCUUUACUAUAGCUUGACACUGAACACUGGUCCUUGAUGUGUAGGAUAGGUGGGAGGCUUUGAAGCGUGGACGCCAGUCUGCGUGGAGCCAUCCUUGAAAUACCACCCUUUAAUGGCUGGUGUUCUAACGUGGGCCCGUUAUCCGGGUUGCGGACAGUGUCUGGUGGGUAGUUUGACUGGGGCGGUCUCCUCCUAAAGAGUAACGGAGGAGCACGAAGGUCAGCUAAUCCUGGUCGGACAUCAGGAGGUUAGUGCAAUGGCAUAAGCUGGCUUGACUGCGAGCGUGACGGCGCGAGCAGGUGCGAAAGCAGGUCAUAGUGAUCCGGUGGUUCUGAAUGGAAGGGCCAUCGCUCAACGGAUAAAAGGUACUCCGGGGAUAACAGGCUGAUACCGCCCAAGAGUUCAUAUCGACGGCGGUGUUUGGCACCUCGAUGUCGGCUCAUCACAUCCUGGGGCUGAAGUAGGUCCCAAGGGUAUGGCUGUUCGCCAUUUAAAGUGGUACGCGAGCUGGGUUUAGAACGUCGUGAGACAGUUCGGUCCCUAUCUGCCGUGGGCGCUGGAGAAUUGAGGGGGGCUGCUCCUAGUACGAGAGGACCGGAGUGGACGCAUCACUGGUGUUCGGGUUGUCAUGCCAAUGGCAUUGCCCGGUAGCUAAAUGCGGAAGAGAUAAGUGCUGAAAGCAUCUAAGCACGAAACUUGCCCCGAGAUGAGUUCUCCCUGACUCCUUGAGAGUCCUGAAGGAACGUUGAAGACGACGACGUUGAUAGGCCGGGUGUGUAAGCGCAGCGAUGCGUUGAGCUAACCGGUACUAAUGAACCGUGAGGCUUAACCUUACAACGCCGAAG